rnacentral:piRNA from 1 species
UUGAGCACAGUGUCAUCGUCCGUGGCCCAGU